AUGGACACGGCCGCCUUGCUCCCGGUGGCGCUGGCCCUCAUGGCCAUCCCCGUCACGGCGCUCCUCCUCAGCCGGCUCCGCUUCGGCAGGCUGCCACCGGGGCCGCGCCCGUGGCCGGUGCUGGGCAACCUCUUCCAAAUCCAGCCCGUGCGCUGCCGGUGCUUCGCCGAGUGGGCGGCGCGGUACGGGCCCAUCAUGACGGUCUGGUUCGGCUCGACGCCGAUGGUGGUGGUGUCCACGCCGGAGCUGGCGCAGGAGGUGCUCAGGACCCACGACCAGCACCUGGCCGACCGCUCCCGGAACCGCUCCUCCGAGCGCUUCAGCCGCGGCGGCAUGGACCUCAUCUGGGCCGACUACGGCCCGCACUACAUCAAGGUGCGCAAGCUCUGUAACCUCGAGCUCUUCACGCCCCGCCGCCUCGAGGCGCUCCGCCCCGUCCGCGAGGACGAGGUCACCGCCAUGGUCGAGUCCGUGCACGCGGCCGGCAAGGGAGGCAGGCCCGUGGCGGUGCGGGAGUUCCUCGCUAUGGUCGGCUUCAACAACAUCACGCGGCUCGCCUUCGGGAAGCGGUUCCUGACCGCGGCCGGCGAGCUGGACGAGCAAGGGCGCGAGUUCAAGGAGAUCGUCAACAACGGCAUCAAGAUCGGCGCGUCGCUGUCCAUCGCCGAGCACAUCCGGUGGCUCCGGUGGCUCACGCCCGUCGACGAGGUGGCCUAUCAAGCCCACGGCGACCGGCGCGAUCGGCUCACCGUCAAGAUCAUGGAGGAGCACGCCAGCGCCCUCGAGCGGAGCGGCGCCAGCAAGCAGCAUUUCGUCGACGCGCUCUUCACGCUCCGGGACAAGUACGACCUCAGCGACGACACCGUCAUUGGCCUCCUCUGGGACAUGAUCACCGCCGGCACGGACACGACGGUGAUAACCGUGGAGUGGGCGGUAGCGGAGCUGGUGAGGAACCCGACGGUGCAGCACAAGGUGCAGGAGGAGCUGGACCGGGUGGUCGGCCGCGACCGGGUGCUGUCGGAGACGGACUUCCCCAACCUGCCCUACCUGCAGGCCAUCGUCAAGGAGUCGCUCCGGCUGCACCCGCCGACGCCGCUGAUGCUGCCGCACAGGGCCAGCGCCGCCGUGAAGGUCGCCGGCUACGACAUCCCCAAGGGAGCCAGCGUCACGGUGAACGUGUGGGCGAUCGCGCGCGACCCGGAGGCGUGGGACAGCCCGCUCGAGUUCCGGCCCGAGCGCUUCCUCCACGACAACAUCGACAUCAAGGGGUGCGACUACCGCGUGCUGCCGUUCGGCGCCGGCCGCCGGGUGUGCCCCGGCGCGCAGCUCGGGAUCAACCUCGUGGCGUCCAUGAUCGGCCACCUCCUGCACCACUUCACCUGGGCGCUGCCGGACGGGACCCGGCCGGAGGACAUCGACAUGAUGGAGUCCCCCGGGCUCAUCACCUUCAUGCGCACGCCGCUGCAGGUCGUCGCCACGCCGCGCCUCGAAAAGGAGGAGCUCUACAAGCGGGUGGCCGCCGAGAUGUGA
rnacentral:rRNA from 1 species